UACGUAGGGAGCAAGUGUUGUCCGGAAUCAUUGGGCGUAAAGCGCGCGUAGGUGGCCUCGUAAGUCCGCUGUGAAAGUCAAAGGCUCAACCUUUGAAAGCCGGUGGAUACUGUGGGGCUAGAGUACGGAAGAGGCGAGUGGAAUUCCUGGUGUAGCGGUGGAAUGCGCAGAUAUCAGGAGGAACACCAAUAGCGAAGGCAGCUCGCUGGGACGUUACUGACACUGAGGAGCGAAAGCGUGGGGAGCGAACAGG
rnacentral:rRNA from 1 species